GUUGACCUCGGAUCAGGUAGGAAUACCCGCUGAACUUAAGCAUAUCAUAUCAAUAAGCGGAGGAAAAGAAACCAACAGGGAUUGCCCUAGUAACGGCGAGUGAAGCGGCAACAGCUCAAAUUUGAAAUCUGGCUUUCGGGCCCGAGUUGUAAUUUGUAGAGGAUGAUUUUGAUGCGGUGCCUUCCGAGUUCCCUGGAACGGGACGCCAUAGAGGGUGAGAGCCCCGUCUGGUUGGAUGCCAAAUCUCUGUAAAUCUCCUUCGACGAGUCGAGUAGUUUGGGAAUGCUGCUCUAAAUGGGAGGUAUAUGUCUUCUAAAGCUAAAUACCGGCCAGAGACCGAUAGCGCACAAGUAGAGUGAUCGAAAGAUGAAAAGCACUUUGAAAAGAGAGUUAAAAAGUACGUGAAAUUGUUGAAAGGGAAGCGUUUAUGACCAGACUUGGGCUUGGUUAAUCAUCUGGGGUUCUCUCCAGUGCACUUUUCCAGUCCAGGCCAGCAUCAGUUUUCGCCGGGGGAUAAAGGCUUCGGGAAUGUGGCUCCCCUCGGGGAGUGUUAUAGCCCGUUGUGUAAUACCCUGGUGGGGACUGAGGUUCGCGCUUCUGCAAGGAUGCUGGCGUAAUGGUCAUCAACGACCCGUCUUGAAACACGGACCAAGGAGUCGUCUUCGUAUGCGAGUGUUCGGGUGUCAAACCCCUACGCGUAAUGAAAGUGAACGCAGGUGAGAGCUUCGGCGCAUCAUCGACCGAUCCUGAUGUUCUCGGAUGGAUUUGAGUAAGAGCAUACGGGGCCGGACCCGAAAGAAGGUGAACUAUGCCUGUGUAGGGUGAAGCCAGAGGAAACUCUGGUGGAGGCUCGCAGCGGUUCUGACGUGCAAAUCGAUCGUCAAACAUGGGCAUGGGGGCGAAAGACUAAUCGAACUGU
rnacentral:rRNA from 1 species